CCUACGGGAGGCAGCAGUAGGGAAUCUUCCGCAAUGGACGAAAGUCUGACGGAGCAACGCCGCGUGAGCGAAGAAGGCCUUCGGGUCGUAAAGCUCUGUUGUUAGGGAAGAACAAGUACCAGAGUAACUGCUGGUACCUUGACGGUACCUAACCAGAAAGCCACGGCUAACUACGUGCCAGCAGCCGCGGUAAUACGUAGGUGGCAAGCGUUGUCCGGAAUUAUUGGGCGUAAAGCGCGCGCAGGCGGUCCUUUAAGUCUGAUGUGAAAGCCCACGGCUCAACCGUGGAGGGUCAUUGGAAACUGGGGGACUUGAGUGCAGAAGAGGAGAGUGGAAUUCCACGUGUAGCGGUGAAAUGCGUAGAGAUGUGGAGGAACACCAGUGGCGAAGGCGACUCUCUGGUCUGUAACUGACGCUGAGGCGCGAAAGCGUGGGGAGCAAACAGGAUUAGAUACCCUGGUAGUCCACGCCGUAAACGAUGAGUGCUAAGUGUUAGAGGGUUUCCGCCCUUUAGUGCUGCAGCUAACGCAUUAAGCACUCCGCCUGGGGAGUACGGCCGCAAGGCUGAAACUCAAAGGAAUGACGG
rnacentral:rRNA from 1 species